AAACUCCUAUGGGAGGCAGCAGUGGGGAAUAUUGCGCAAUGGGCGAAAGCCUGACGCAGCGACGCCGCGUGAGGGAUGAAGGUCUUCGGAUCGUAAACCUCUGUCAGCAGGGAAGAACGGUCACUGUGCUAAUCAGCAGUGAAUUGACGGUACCUGCAAAGGAAGCACCGGCUAACUCCGUGCCAGCAGCCGCGGUAAUACGGAGGGGGCGAGCGUUAAUCGGAAUUACUGGGCGUAAAGCGCUCGUAGGAGGUAUGUCACGUCAAGGGUGAAAUCACCGCGCUGAACGUGGGAACUGCAUUGGA
rnacentral:rRNA from 1 species